rnacentral:tRNA from 1 species
UCCCUGGUGGCUCAGAGGGUAAAGCGUCUGCCUGCAAUGCAGGAGACCUGGGUUCGAUCCUUGGUCAGGAAG